rfam:Roundleaf bat hepatitis B virus isolate RBHBV/GB09-301/Hip_rub/GAB/2009, complete genome.
UUGCUAGGCAACGGCGGGCGGUUUGCCAGGUGUUUGCUGACGCAACCCCCACUGGCUGGGGCCUGGUUAAUCAUCAGCUCGCUGCUUAUAAGGCGGGUCGCUUUCCGCGACCUUUGCCCAUCCACUGCGCGGAGCUGAUCGCCGCCUGUCUCGCUCGCCGCUGGUCGGGGGCUCGAGUGUUGGGGGUCGACAAUACCAUCGUGUGCUCCGGGAAGUUCACGCACUUCCCAUGGCUGCUCGGCUGCACUGCGAACUGGAUGCUGCG